CCUACGGGAGGCUGCAGUAGGGAAUUUUGCGCAAUGGGCGAAAGCCUGACGCAGCAACGCCGCGUGAUCGAGACGCCUUUCGGGGUGUAAAGAUCUGUCAGUGGGGACGAAACUUGACGGUACCUACAGAGGAAGCACCGGCUAACUCCGUGCCAGCAGCCGCGGUAAUACGGGGGGUGCAAGCGUUGCCCGGAAUCAUUGGGCGUAAAGAGUUCGUAGGCGGGACGGAAAGUCUGGUGUUAAAGGCAGAGGCUCAACUACGGAACUGCCUCUGAUACUGUUCUUCUAGAGUGUAGUUGAGGUAGGCGGAAUGUAUGGUGUAGCGGUAAAAUGCUUAGAGAUCAUGCAGAACACUGAUUGCGAAGGCAGCUUGCCAGGCUACUUCUGACGUUGAGGCGCGAAAGCGUGGGGAGCAAACAGGAUUAGAUACCCGAGUAGUC
rnacentral:rRNA from 1 species